UACGAAGGGGGCUAGCGUUGUUCGGAAUUACUGGGCGUAAAGCGCACGUAGGCGGACUAUUAAGUCAGGGGUGAAAUCCCGGGGCUCAACCCCGGAACUGCCUUUGAUACUGGUAGUCUCGAGUCCGGAAGAGGUGAGUGGAAUUCCGAGUGUAGAGGUGAAAUUCGUAGAUAUCUGGAGGAACACCGGUGGCGAAGGCGGCAUCCUGGACCGACACUGACGCUGAGGCGCGAAAGCCAGGGGAGCAAACGGG
rnacentral:rRNA from 1 species